rnacentral:tRNA from 1 species
GCAGUGUUGGUUCAGCGGUAGAAUUCUCGCCUUCCAUGCAGGAGACCUGGGUUCAAUUUCCAGCCAAUACA